AUUGAACGCUGGCGGCAGGCCUAACACAUGCAAGUCGAACGAGUGGCGGACGGGUGAGUAAUGUCUGGGAAACUGCCUGAUGGAGGGGGAUAACUACUGGAAACGGUAGCUAAUACCGCAUACCAUCGGAGGUGCCCAGAUGGGAUUAGCUAGUAGGUGGGGGAACGGCUCACCUAGGAGACGAUCCCUAGCUGGUCUGAGAGGAUGACCAGCCACACGGGAACUGAGACACGGUCCAGACGCCUACGGUAGGCAGCAGUGAGGAAUAUUGCACUAGGGGCGCAAGCCUGAUACAGCCAUGCCGCGUGUAUGAUGAAGGCCUUCGGGUUGUAAAGUACUUUCAGCGGGGAGACGUUACCCGCAGAAGAAGCACCGGCUGACUCCGUGCCAGCAGCCGCGGUAAUUC
rnacentral:rRNA from 1 species